UUUAUGGAGAGUUUGAUCCUGGCUCAGGACGAACGCUGGCGGCGUGCCUAAUACAUGCAAGUCGAGCGGAU
rnacentral:rRNA from 1 species